rnacentral:lncRNA from 10 species
GGGAAAACGGUACUAGAAGAUAGCUACUGGAUUGCUUUAUUAUUACACAGUCAGGAUUGAGCCUGUCCAAGAACACAAGCAAUGCAGAGAAAAGCAGAGAUGAGUGACCAAGAUAAGGGAAAGAGAGACAUGAUGACAUCAUUCAGCCUCUGGAUCUAGCCAUGGGUGAAGACAGUUCAUCUUUUCUUUCCCCUCCCACGCCACCCCUGCAGGCUUCUAGUUACAUGAGCCAAUGAGCAACUUGUUUAUUCCUUAAGUCAGUGUGAGUUGGGCUUAUUUUGCUUGUAAUCAAAUAACAUUAAAUAGAUACACAACCUGACCUUGGGCAAGUCAUAGUCUCUCUGAAGGUCAGUUCAGCUGUAAAACAGGAUGAUUCCUUUUUUACUCAUCACACAGGGACAUUAAGAGGCUCACAUUUAUGUGAAAUGUACAUGAAUACAUUUUGACAACUGUAAGUGUUUGGGAAAAAAAGGAUAAGUAUUAGUGUGUAUCCCUGAAGAAUAAAGAGAUAUUGUUUACUAUGAUUUUGUUUUCUUUAGAAAACAAAGAAACACUAUUCAGUCAAUUAUUAUAGACACUGGAAAAGCAUAAGCCCAUGCCCAAACCAUUAUAGUUAAAUCUCUUACCACAGGAUUUCUCUUUCAUGACCAAAAAUCACAGAUUUUUUUCUUUCUUUUCUUUUUCAAAGAACAUGAAAACCUACUUAUUAUUCCACCUAGAAUAUGCAAGAGCUAGCAUUUAACUUUAACGUUUGUUCUUAAAGCCUGCACAAAAAUUUUGAAAUAAAGAUUUGUUGCUGUCUC